GUGUUUAUUCUGAUCGGUUCAAGAGUGUUAUUCAUUUGUUGUGCGGGAAGACUUUUGAGGGUCUAGAAAGAGAGAAUGAAAGACCCAAAGGAUUGAAGAAGUAGAUAAAUCAAAGAAAAACUCAAGAAAUUGGAAGAGAAGGUGAAGAUCCAAGGGAAAUUAAUUACAACUUUUGAAGUUAAAACCAAAGGGUCAAACGCAUGGACGAAUCAAGCACCAGAACAUUGUGAUCAGGCGUGUGACCAGGCUGAGAGGCAUUUGCCUGGAAUCUGUUUUUGUCAGCCAACCUAUGUGCCUCCCGUAAAGGUUCCGAAUAUGUCAAGUGACUAUGGCUAUGGGAUUUAAAGUUUAAGUUUUGUUUUCGUGUUUGGUUGAACAAGUCUUGUGUAUUUUGUAAAUAUGGCUAAGUCCCAUUUUGUCUAAUCUGUAUAUAUAUAAUGACGUAAGGAU